AGCAGCCGCGGUAAUUCCAGCUCCAAUAGCGUAUAUUAAAGUUGUUGCAGUUAAAAAGCUCGUAGUUGAAUUUUGGAUUCUUCCAAUUGGUCCAUCUUUUAGAUGAGUACUGGUUGUGUGGGGUCUAUCCGCCUGGUGAUACGUAAUGUCCUUUAUUGGAUGUUGCGGGUAGUCAGGACCUUUACCUUGAAAAAAUUAGAGUGUUUAAAGCAGGCUUAUGCCGGAAUACAUUAGCAUGGAAUAAUAGAAUAGGACGAAGUUGUUUUAUUUUGUUGGUUUCUAGGACAACCGUAAUGAUUAAUAGGGAUAGUUGGGGGCAUUAGUAUUCAAUUGUCAGAGGUGAAAUUCUUGGAUUUAUUGAAGACUAACUACUGCGAAAGCAUUUGCCAAGGAUGUUUUCAUUAAUCAAGAACGAAAGUUAGGGGAUCGAAGACGAUCAGAUACCGUCGUAGUCUUAACCAUAAACUAUGCCGACUAGGGAUCGGAUGAUGUUAAUUUUUUAAUGACCCAUUCGGCGCCU
rnacentral:misc_RNA from 1 species